rnacentral:rRNA from 1 species
UACGAAGGGGGCUAGCGUUGUUCGGAAUUACUGGGCGUAAAGGGUUUGUAGGCGGUUGAACAAGUCAGUGGUGAAAGCCCAGAGCUUAACUCUGGAAUUGCCAUUGAAACUGUUCAGCUAGAGAGUGUUAGAGGAAAGUGGAAUUCCUAGUGUAAAAGUGAAAUCCAUAGAGAUUAAAAGGAAUAUCAAUGGCGAAGGCAGCUUUCUAGGACAUUUCUGACGCUGAGAAACGAAAGCGUGGGUAGCAAACAGG